UCCGGUGACAAUAGCGAAGGGGAAACACCCGUUCCCGUUCCGAACACGGUAGUUAAGGCCUUCAGCGCCCAUGAUACUUCGAGGGAGACCUCGUGGGAAAGUAGGACGUUGCCGGGA
rnacentral:rRNA from 1 species